rnacentral:tRNA from 1 species
CAGAGAAUAGUUUAAUAAAAAUAUUAAUUUUGGAGAUUAAUGAUGGAAGAAUUUUCUUUCUCUGA